AAAAGGGAAGCGCUUGUGACCAGACUUGCGUCCGGUGAAUCACCCAGCUCUCGCGGCUGGGGCACUUCGCCGGCACAGGCCAGCAUCAGCUUGCCGUCGGGGACAAAAGCUUCAGGAACGUGGCUCCUCUCGGGGAGUGUUAUAGCCUGUUGCAUAAUACCCUUCGGCGGGCUGAGGUACGCGCNCCGCAAGGAUGCUGGCGUAAU
rnacentral:rRNA from 1 species